AAUCCAUUCGGACCGUCGGUCUACCGAGCAAAAUCACCCGGUCGGUGGAAGAUCUUCCCUUUCGU
rnacentral:pre_miRNA from 1 species